CCCUCACUCACACAAGCCAUGACUGAAGCGAAGAGAAGUUUCCUAGGAUCUGCAGCGCCAGCUGUUUGAAGACUCCACCGGAGAGAUGGGCCCCAGGGCUGCUCUGACCCUUUUAACUGGACCAGACCCCUCUGGGUCCCCAGCUCAUGGGAUGCUGCCACCCACACUCUGGAUUGGUCUUCCUUCCUCACUUAAACCUCAGACAUGCCCCGAGGUUGGGCUUUUCUUCCUUUGAAAGUGUUUCCAAGUUUUCCUAGAGGUGAGUCAGCUGGGUUAGAUGGGGGGGGGGCAGAGGGGAAGGAUAGAGCAUCUUUUUUUUCUCCUAAAUACUUUCUAGAACAAAAAUAUAAAGAAGUCUGUAUUUUCCUCGGUGGCUGUGCCUUCAUAUGUUUUAAAUCACUGUCCUGUUGGGCUUUAUUUAGCUGCAAAGAUGACUAUGGUACUAUUUUUUUUUUCAAUUACACGCAUGUAGGUUGGAGAGAUGGCUUAGCAGUUAAGAUCACUGG